rnacentral:lncRNA from 1 species
CUCUUGGUGAGAUUCUCGACUGCUUCUUUGUGAUCUCUGUCGCCUUCUUUCAUGCGAUCUCUUUGUGAGACCUUUCUACCUUACCUUCAUCGGCACCUUAGCCGGAGUCUUGGCUACCGGCUUUGUCCCUGUUCUGCUUGAUUUUUUUCUUGCUGGUUCGACCUCUUCUUCCAUCCUCGCCGCUACCCUUUUUGCUACCUUCAUAUGAGGUGGUUCUGAAUGAUUCUAGUGGAUGUUUCCUUCGUGGCUUCAAGUGGGAUUUUUGGUUCCUUCUAGUGAAGCUACCUUAUGUAUAGUUGGGUCAAUGAUCU